rfam:Bombyx mori DNA, contig: Bm_scaf15_contig11467, strain: p50T/Dazao, build 2, whole genome shotgun sequence.
UUAACUCAAAUUUGUAUGGAGUUGGAACGUUUGCCUACGUUUGCCGCCAGGGACACUGUUCCAACUGCAUACAAAUUUGAGUUA